rnacentral:rRNA from 1 species
AUUGAACGCUGGCGGCAGGCCUAACACAUGCAAGUCGAGCGGAUGCAGGGAGCUUGCUCCUGGAUUCAGCGGCGGACGGGUGAGUAAUGCCUAUGAAUCUGCCUGGUAGUGGGGGAUAACGUCCUGAAACGGGCGCUAAUACUGCAUACGUCCUGAUGGAGCAAGUGGGGGAUCUUCGGACCUCACGCUCUCAGAUGAGCCUAGGUCGGUUUAGCUAGUUGGUGGGGUAAAGGCCUACCAAGGCGACGAUCCGUAACUGGUCUGAGAGGAUGAUCAGUCACACGGGAACUGAGACACGGUCCAGACUCCUACGGGAGGCAGCAGUGGGGAAUAUUGGACAAUGGGCGAAAGCCUGAUCCAGCCAUGCCGCGUGUGUGAAGAAGGUCUUCGGAUUGUAAAGCACUUUAAGUUGGGAGGAAGGGCAGUAAGUUAAUACCUUGCUGUUUUGACGUUACCAACAGAAUAAGCACCGGCUAACUUCGUG